rnacentral:tRNA from 1 species
GCCGGGAUGGUGGAAUUGGUAGACACGUUGGUCUUAGAAACCAAUGCCUCACAGCGUGAGAGUUCGAGUCUCUCUCUCGGCACCA